UACGAAGGGGGCUAGCGUUGUUCGGAAUCACUGGGCGUAAAGGGCGCGUAGGCGGCUUUGUAAGUCGGGGGUGAAAGCCUGUGGCUCAACCACAGAAUUGCCUUCGAUACUGUAGAGCUUGAGACCGGAAGAGGUAAGUGGAACUGCGAGUGUAGAGGUGAAAUUCGUAGAUAUUCGCAAGAACGCCAGUGGCGAAGGCGGCUUACUGGUCCGGUUCUGACGCUGAGGCGCGAAAGCGUGGGGAGCAAACAGG
rnacentral:rRNA from 1 species